UUGUCAAGAUUGAAAAAUGAGACAUCACCAUGAAAUAUGUGAUAGUCAGUCAACAAACCAGCAAAAUCAAAGUGAAGCACUUUUCAUGUUGAUGGAAAAAUGCUCAAAGGUGAAAGAAUGCGAUUUUGACCAAAAUUUUUUAACGCACUUGCAUUUCACUCAUUUUCCUUUCAAAUCUCAACAAACAACAUAGCAUUCCAUAGCUAGAACCUAGAACUCUUUGUUUAAAUAUUUAAAACUACAGUUAUUUAUUCAGUAAUUCACAUACAUCAACAAGUAAAAGUUGGAUUACCUUUUUUUGAAACACCCUGUAUCAAGAACCUAGAUUCCCAGAACGUGGGGUUUCCCUUUGGAUAAAUCAACUUAAAUAUAUAUUUUAUUAAAUACGUGUAUAAUUUAGGAAAAAUAAAAAAAUAAGAAUCAAAGGAAGAUAUCAGAAUUCAGCGCUUUAAUAACUCGUAGGGUAUAUUGCUAUAGAAAUAUCUACCAGUGGUAUAAAAAUAAAUAUUUUGUUGUUCAAUUUCUUUUUCGUUACUCACUACACUACAUAUGAGAUGACAACAGUAAAUAUGGGCAGACACACAUAAUUAGAGUAAAAGCUCCAUUUUUCUUGGCUACAUCACUACCUAAAACAUACAUAAAGAUAAAUUACAUUGUCAGGUGGUCACCAAUGCCAGAUCUAUAAAAACGCUUGUCAGCAAAGGAUUUUUAUUGUGUUUAGUCUUUACAGAAAGGAAUGGAUUUGUGGCUCCAUUUUAAGGAGCAAGAUGCUUUGUUAGCCCUGGCUUUUGGCAAAGCAAAUCUUGUGGGCUUUUCAGCAUUUCAAAAGGAGAUGUUACAUGAUCAUGGUUGCUGUAAGAUCAGUAUUUAUUCUCAUUAUACAAGAAAAUGACCCAACAACUUUCAUUUUAAGGAACUUCACAACUUCUGAAUAGCUAGAUAUUGCAAACUAAACUCAUAAAUAUACUUU